UACAGAGGUCUCAAGCGUUGUUCGGAUUCAUUGGGCGUAAAGGGUGCGUAGGUGGCGCGUUAAGUCAGGUGUGAAAUUUCGGAGCUUAACUCCGAAACUGCAUUUGAUACUGGCGUGCUUGAGGACUGGAGAGGAGACUGGAAUUCAUGGUGUAGCAGUGAAAUGCGUAGAUAUCAGGAGGAACACCAGCGGCGAAGGCGGCGCUCUGGGCCGGUACUGACACUGAGGAGCGAAAGCGUGGGUAGCAAACAGG
rnacentral:rRNA from 1 species